GCACCCAUGGCUCAAUUGGAUAGAGCACUUGACUACGGAUCAGGAGGUUGCAGGUUCAAAUCCUGAUGGGUGUA
rnacentral:tRNA from 1 species